rnacentral:misc_RNA from 1 species
AAAAGAUUUCCCAUGUCCGAUUUCAACCAAUGAAAUUGUGAAGCUAUGGAUAAAAAAUAAAAAUAAAAAAUUGCAAAGCUUACUAGGCAUGAAAGCCAAUCUGGACAACUCUCAAACGAUUGUUUUUUACUGUUUUGCAAAUUGCCAUAAAAAGGAAUGGGAAGCUCUUCAUAUAAAGUCAUUCACAUGAUUAAAAAAAAAUGAUUACUUUUACAUGCAAACAAAAUAAUUUAGGAAAACAAAAUUGCAGGAUUUUCUUCCUACCAUCCUCAAAAAGUAAUUCACACCAAAACAGUACCUUUUGGGUUCUGGCUAGAAUAAUCAUCCUUCACCACCUGACUAAAUGCUCAUGCACUGAAUGAAGCAUUCUGUGCACCUCAUCAGCUCAUCAUAGUUAUCUCUAAUCAUGUCUUAACCAAAAAGUAGCAGGAAACAGGAGUGUGCUCAUCAAUGUUCAGACGGGAACAUCCACACCCAAAAUUCAAAUAGAGAUUAAAACCGAGCUUUCCGUUUUCUAGCAGUAUACUUUGUGUUAGGAGGAACAUUAAUUCCUUUAUUUCUCAUUUGCUCCUUUUUCCUCAGUACCCAUUCUCUGCCCUUCCCUUUCUUGGUUAUUUUUUGCAUUUUCCUAGGUCUCUGCCUGUCUGAAAAGCGAACUGUCUGAUUUUCAUCUUCACUGAUUUCGUCAUCAGAACAACUUUCUUCAUCUUCACCUUUUGCCUUGGGAACGGCUGUCGUUAUGGAUGGUGGUCCACAAGUGAGGACAAGGUAUUCUUUCCUGCUCUUGGUACUGUGUGGAUAGUCAAUUACCACGCCACCAGCAAAUCCAGCAUGCAUUGCAGAUCUCAAAAUCAGCUCACGCUGGGCUAGAUUUUCAGGAUACACUUGAAAUACUGCUCUAGCUCCCCUUGCCAGGCAUCUAUAUAAUGAUCCAAAGAAAGCCUUCAAUCUCAGUUUUGGCUCAUGGGAGGACUUGUCAGCAUUGCAUAACCACUGAACAGCAGAGAUACUGAUGGCACCAUCAAUAACUCCAGGACGAAGAGCUAAACCCUGCCCCAUAUCACCAAGCAAAAGAUCACCGUCAACCUCCCGCUCCAAUGCAAUAUCUAACUUUCACAAAUAGUUCUUGCUAUAAAAUGAUCUUAUAUAAAAAGGGUCACAAGACAAUAAAUUAACAAAUCAACGAAACUGAUAAUAGACAUACUAAGCAUUGAUUGUGAAAUGUCUAAACCAAUCCAUUGGUGCCCAUUUUCAGUGAGUGUCUCUCCACUAAGUCCUGACCCACAACCAAUGUCAAGAAGUAAUCUAGGGACUCCAUCAUCAGGCAAAGCAAGAAGCUCUACUGCUCUCUCUGAUAGCUUUGCCUGAAUUUCAAUGAUACGAGAAGAAGAAGUGUAUUUUCGAGCUUCAGCAUCAUCAUAGAAUAUCUCCGGCGGUGCUAAUAACUCAGGCCGACUUGCCAUCUCUUCACUCAACAACUAAGAAAGCAGAAUUCGAGAAUGCAAUUACAAUCAGAAUUUCUUAUUAUUAUUAUUUUCUUUGUGUUUGGGAGAAAUUCAAGCAAUUUACGG